CGGGGAAGCUGUGUAACAGCACGAUCAAAUAAAUUUCUGGCAUGGUUGAUAUUUCGAUUCUUCAUUUCGCAUUCAAUAUAUUUCAGCCAUAACGGUAUAUAAGUAGAAUCUACAUCCAAAGCUCUUUCAAAAACAGAGCGAGCUCUCGCAAAUUCUUUUUGGUCUAAUUCCCACUGACCAUAUCGCAUCCAAUGGCCCAUAGCGAGACGAUUCCGUCGAAUGGCAUCUUCAAAUUCUUUACGUUUUCGACCUUGAAAUUCUUGAAGCUCCUCAAGAUCAGUGAUAUUAAUUUUUGGAGGAACAAACGCCACAUCUUGUCGUUCUACAGCUUCUCGGAGCAAUUGUUCAGCUGAGAUUUGGAUGGGUGCUGGGUUCUUAUUUUUUACCCUGGGCGCUUCCGAAGUCAUCUUAUAUUAUUCUGGAUCUCUAUAGUGUACAAUUACUCAAUAAAUAAUAUGCUAGAUUUAUGUCUUCUCUUAACCAGUUGGCUUUUACUGUUAGAAGACAAAAACGUGCACAAAUAUGAAUGAAUAUAUCUAACGUUUGUAACCCUCGAGGUGGUAAUCGGCAACACCGC